GAUGAACGCUGGCGGCGUGCCUAAUACAUGCAAGUCGAGCGAACAGACGAGGAGCUUGCUCCUCUGACGUUAGCGGCGGAAGUGUGAGUAACACGUGGAUCACCUACCUAUAAGACUGGGAUAACUUCGGGAAACCGGAGCUAAUACCGGGUAAUAUAUUGAACCGCAUGGUUCAAUAGUGAAAGACGGUUUUGCUGUCACUUAUAGCUGGAUCCGCGCCGCAUUAGCUAGUUGGUAAGGUAACGGCUUACCAAGGCGCCGGUGCGUAGCCGAACUGAGAGGGUGUACGGCCACACAGGAACUGAGACACGGUCUAGACUCCGACAGGAGGCAGCAGUAGGGAAUGUUCGGCAAUGGGCGGAAGCCUGACGGAGCAACGCCAGGUUAGUGAUGAAGGUCUUCGGAUCGUAAAACUGUGUUAGGAGGGAAGAACAAAUGUGUAAGUAACGAUGCACGUCGUGACGGUACCUAAACAGAAAGCCACGGCUAACUACGUG
rnacentral:rRNA from 1 species